GAUGAACGCUAGCUACAGGCUUAACACAUGCAAGUCGAGGGGAAACGAUAUUGGAAGCUUGCUUCCGAUAGGCGUCGACCGGCGCACGGGUGAGUAACGCGUAUCCAACCUGCCCACCACUUGGGGAUAACCUUGCGAAAGUAAGACUAAUACCCAAUGAUAUCUCAAGAAGACAUCUGAAUGAGAUUAAAGAUUUAUCGGUGAUGAAUGGGGAUGCGUCUGAUUAGCCUGUUGGCGGGGUAACGGCCCACCAAGGCGACGAUCAGUAGGGGUUCUGAGAGGAAGGUCCCCCACAUUGGAACUGAGACACGGUCCAAACUCCUACGGGAGGCAGCAGUGAGGAAUAUUGGUCAAUGGGCGAGAGCCUGAACCAGCCAAGUAGCGUGCAGGAUGACGGCCCUAUGGGUUGUAAACUGCUUUUAUAAGGGAAUAAGGUGAGCCUCGUGAGGCUUUUUGCAUGUACCUUAUGAAUAAGGACCGGCUAAUUCCGUGCCAGCCGCCGCUGUAA
rnacentral:rRNA from 1 species